GAUCCCAAGCUUCUUCGGCUUGAACAUACCUCUCUGCCCGCUCUAACAUUUCGACGAAAUCUUUUAGAUAAUUUAAGUUGAGCAAGAAGAAGAGGUCAUUCUGAAGAAGCCCGACCUUCAGCGUGGUCAUUGUCACGGACUGAUCUAGAUUUCGAACUUUCAAAGUUGCAGCAUUGAAUCGAUUAAUGUAAUCUCAGAGAGGUUCAUUCUCCCUCUGCUUGAUACUCACAAGAAAAUCCGAGUUGUGAUGUUGUCAAUGGCUAUGGAUGAAGUACGCGACGAAC
rnacentral:lncRNA from 1 species